rnacentral:rRNA from 1 species
AGCUCCAAUAGCGUAUAUUAAAGUUGUUGCAGUUAAAAAGCUCGUAGUCGAAUUUAAGACAAGAAUACCGUUGGUUGACCGUCAGGUUAUACUGAUGAGUUGAGUCUCAAUGAUCGGGGAGGUGGAUGAUCCUAGCGGGUGAUCCAAGGAACCGAGAUUUACUGUGAAGAAAUUAGAGUGUUCAAAGCAGGCGAUUGCUUGAAUACAUUAGCAUGGAAUAAUAGAAUAGGACAAUGAUCUUAUUUUGUUGGUUUGAGGAUCAUCGUAAUGAUUAAGAGGGACAGUUGGGGGCAUUAGAAUUCGGUAGUCAGAGGUGAAAUUCUUGGAUUUAUCGAAGACUAACUAGUGCGAAAGCAUUUGCCAAGGAUGUUUUCA